UGGGAAUUUUGGACAAUGGGGGAAACCCUGAUCCAGCCAUCCCGCGUGUGCGAUGAAGGCCUUCGGGUUGUAAAGCACUUUUGGCAGGAAAGAAACGUCAUGGGUUAAUACCCCGUGAAACUGACGGUACCUGCAGAAUAAGCACCGGCUAACUACGUGCCAGCAGCCGCGGUAAUACGUAGGGUGCAAGCGUUAAUCGGAAUUACUGGGCGUAAAGCGUGCGCAGGCGGUUCGGAAAGAAAGAUGUGAAAUCCCAGAGCUCAACUUUGGAACUGCAUUUUUAACUACCGGGCUAGAGUGUGUCAGAGGGAGGUGGAAUUCCGCGUGUAGCAGUGAAAUGCGUAGAUAUGCGGAGGAAAACCGAUGGAGAAGGCAGCCUCCUGGGAUAACACUGACGCUCAUGCACGAAAGCGUGGGGAGCAAACAGG
rnacentral:rRNA from 1 species